AUCAUCAUACGUGUUCUAACAUAGAUAUAAUGUCAAACAGAUAGCUAAUUUAUGAGGAUAAUGAAAUAUAAUAAACUCCUUUAUCGUAUUACAGAAUACAAGUUCCAUUUCAUUCGUUACACUUCUCGCAAACAACGUUAAAAAUUGCACCUUAUUUAUUAUAUCUACGUUAUUUUUAGUAUUUACGAAUUUACAAUAUCCAUUUGGUAUAUUAUUUCGCGAGAUUCGGGUUGGGUUCGGGUUCGAGUGCUACGACCACCAGUAUAACCGGAAGAAAAAGCUAUUACUUUAAAUAUUCUAUGAAGGGCAUUGGCCCAGAUAAUUUUAUCCUUAAAUUUAACGAAUAAUUUGAGAAAGUAAUUGACUAGACGAAUAGGUACACGGAGAUUUGUUUCAAGAGAGUCUUGAAAAACAUGUGCUGCAAAACUAAAAGAGUCACGCCGGGACCUUGAGGACAAGGGGAGUCGUCACUUCCCGGGAGAGGACGCCGGGUAGUGUCGGAUUCGUACCGGCUAAAACACCUCCAUGGUGAUCGUCCUGACGAUUGGUAGGACAAUCCAGAGGCCAUCUUUUAUUCGUAGUACUCCUUCGUCUUCUCCCUGAUGGUGUAAUCAGGGAGUCAUCCUGUUGAUUGGACCUGUAGGAAGUGUAGUUGGAGCUAGGUGAAAAGAGAAUUCGUGUUUCGUCCCGGGACUACCGGUGGACUCGUCAGUAAGGCUAUACCCGGUAGUCCCUGCCUUAGACGUAGAGGGAGUCUCGCUAGGUGCGGUAUUUGUAUCGUGACAUCGUAUAUUCGACCGCUAGCGAGACAGACAGACUCGUUGUCGUCGUAGUAGUCCUCUGGUGUUGGCGGUUGGUACCCGCGGAUCGCCCGGGAGGUGUUACGACCGCGUUGAUGCCUCGACCUGUCAGCGUCCUGUUGGUACCAAUCCGCCACAGACCGUUAGGGGAGACCACUCCUCCUGAAGAUACAUAGAAAGACUGUGGCCAAAUUGUUUGUAAUCGCUUAUUUCCAUCUUCACCGUGGAAAUACCUGUUUCUUGGAUAAUCUUCCCGCGUUUUUUCAUGUUUGUAUCGAAGGCUGCGUCUCAUAGGUGAUAAGUAGUUGAAAUGAAAAUAAUUCUAAAGAUCUAAUAUCAUGUUAUCGUUCAAAUCUGCAUAAACAAAAAUGGACACGUACGAUGGAACUAGUAUUCCAAAUAUAGAGUUAGUCCCUUGCAUACGAGGAUCAUGAUCUCAUAACGAUCUUACACAGGUGACACUGCGAUUUGGGAAGUAUAGACGUGUUUCUAAAACGAAAAUUUUUACUUUUUUUUGCGCAUCAAACAGUAUGUAUAAAAAUUGUAAACAAGUUGAUAUUUAUUUUCUAAAAUAAGAAAUAUUACUAUUGCAGAUUUCCACCAUUUCAAAUGUAUAUUUCGCUCUUAAAAGCUGCCUUUACUGCCAAAUUCGGUUUUAAAAACGGUAUCUUUACUUUCUUACUUUAAUUAUACUAUGUUCUAUAAAAUUAUCCAUAAAAAUUAAAAACAAAGGUAAAAAUUAAACCUAAACAUGUAAGCUUUGCUUAUUAUCAUUCCAAGUACCAUAUCAAUUCACAUAUUACAUAAUUCCAGUUGUAUGGAAAGGCUGUAUAAUAAAUAUUAUAAAAAUGUUUUAUGUUUUGUCUUAGUGCUUUAUUUCUUUUUAUUUAUCGAGUACUACUGUGUUUUGACAUGCUAUACAUUUGACUUUUCACAUAAAAUAAUUUACAAGUUAAUUAAUUUUUUCCAUAUUAUAUUGGCAAGAAUUGUCAUUGCUUUUAUAACUUUAAUAUAUUGUAGUCAGUAUUUUUUAAUAGUAACGAAUAAAAUAAAUUAAAUUUACUUUAGUACAACAUUACAUAACAAUACAAAUAUGAAAACGUUUUUAUGUUGGAACAUAUAUACAAAGUAUCUCGAAA